rnacentral:rRNA from 1 species
GACGAGCGCUGGCGGCGUGCUUAACACAUGCAAGUCGAACGAUGAAGCCCAGCUUGCUGGGUGGAAGAGUGGCGAACGGGUGAGUAACACGUGAGUAACCUGCCCCUGACUCUGGGAUAAGCGCUAGAAAUGGCGUCUAAUACUGGAUAUGACCUAUCACCGCAUGGUGUGUAGGUGGAAAGAUUUAUCGGUUGGGGAUGGACUCGCGGCCUAUCAGCUUGUUGGUGAGGUAAUGGCUCACCAAGGCGACGACGGGUAGCCGGCCUGAGAGGGUGACCGGCCACACUGGGACUGAGACACGGCCCAGACUCCUACGGGAGGCAGCAGUGGGGAAUAUUGCACAAUGGGCGCAAGCCUGAUGCAGCAACGCCGCGUGAGGGAUGACGGCCUUCGGGUUGUAAACCUCUUUUAGUAGGGAAGAAGCGCAAGUGACGGUACCUGCAGAAAAAGCACCGGCUAACUACGUGCCAGCCGCCGCUGUAA